GUAAUUAUUAUGUUUUUCUGACGCUGACUGCAAUUACAAAAGGUUUAAUGAUGUCCUAUCGGCAGGCAAGCCUGCCGAGGAAACAAAUAGUACGCAAAAGACAUGGGUAUAUUCAGAAAGGGCGGGAGCAACAAGCGUAAACCUGUUGCGUCCAUCCCCCUGAGAGAAGGGUAAUGAUCCUUCCGCAGGUUCACCUACGGAAA
rnacentral:misc_RNA from 1 species